rnacentral:rRNA from 1 species
AUGAACGCUGGCGGCGUGCUUAAUACAUGCAAGUCGAACGAAGAGCCUUUGUAGCAAUACGGAGGUUUCUUAGUGGCGAACGGGUGCGUAACGCGUUGGUGACCUGCCCCAAAGUGUGGGAUAACAGUUCGAAAGGAUUGCUAAUACCGCAUGUGGUCAUCGGGUUUAGAAGCCGAUGACUAAAGCAGUAAUGCGCUUUGGGAGGGACCUGCGUCCCAUCAGCUAGUUGGUGAGGUAACGGCCCACCAAGGCUACGACGGGUAGGGGACCUGAGAGGGUGGUCCCCCACACUGGCACUGAAACACGGGCCAGACACCUACGGGUGGCAGCAGUAGGGAAUAUUGGGCAAUGGGCGAAAGCCUGACCCAGCAACGCCGCGUGCACGAUGAAGGUCUUCGGAUCGUAAAGUGCUUUUCUGAGAGAUGAGAAAGGACAGUAUCUCAGGAAUAAGUCUCGGCUAACUACGU